AACGAAAACAAAAUCUAAUUUAAUUGGAAAAUCAAAAUCAAAUACAGAAAGAAAGUCUAUAUCAGAAAUGGGAAAUUUUAAUCAAUAAACAUCAGGACAGGUCAUUUUUGUGCAGAAGAAUACGCAGGCAAAGGAAUAUCAUAUCAUAGUCAUUUAGGUUCUCUCUCACAAACCCUUCUGUAAAACAGGAUUAUAGAGAUAUACAUUAUCCAAAGAAACAAGUUCCAGCAAACAUAUCGCAGCCACAAAAAAGUUCCAGUCGCUGAUUGCUACUCGUACAGACGAGGCCAUACAAGCCCAGCAAGAAAUAUAGAUAUAGCAACAGGACAAACACAUUAUGCAGCAAUUGGGUCACUCUUGAGACUUAUCGGUUUCCAUGGGCUCCGUGGAUGAUGCUUCAUUUCUAGAUUCAUCAGUGUUCUGGCCAGGGCUUGAGUUAGGGUUCUCUGCUCCAUGAGAUUGGGACUCGCCUCCUUGAGAGGAUGCUGGUGAGGGUGCUUCAGGAGUAGCUGGCUUCACCGGCUUUGGCUUCAUCAUUAUUGGCCUGCAAAGCCUGCCAAGGCAAGUUGUAUUUUCAUUAGAGACCAAAUAGUUUGUAAUUACUAGAACAAAAACAAACAGGCGUACUAGCAAGCUAUUUAGCAUCUUCCCCACCAUGCCGCAAAGACACAAAAAUAGCAUUUAGACAAUAGACGGCAAACCCACAACUUAAUAGAAAAUGGCUCAUAAUUACUCGACGGUUAAAUGAAAGAAUACCUAUCGAGAGCUUCAGCUUUUUUCCUGACAUCAGCG
rnacentral:lncRNA from 1 species